rnacentral:rRNA from 1 species
AGAACGAACGCUGGCGGCAGGCUUAACACAUGCAAGUCGAACGCCCCGCAAGGGGAGUGGCAGACGGGUGAGUAACGCGUGGGAAUCUACCCAGAACUUCGGAACAACACAGGGAAACUUGUGCUAAUACCGGAUACGCCCUACGGGGGAAAGAUUUAUCGGUUUUGGAUGAGCCCGCGUUGGAUUAGCUAGUUGGUGAGGUUAAAAGCUCACCAAGGCGACGAUCCAUAGCUGGUCUGAGAGGAUGAUCAGCCACACUGGGACUGAGACACGGCCCAGACUCCUACGGGAGGCAGCAGUGGGGAAUAUUGGACAAUGGGCGCAAGCCUGAUCCAGCCAUGCCGCGUGAGUGAUGAAGGCCUUAGGGUUGUAAAGCUCUUUAGUGGGAAGAUAAUGACGGUACCCACAGAAAAAGCCCGGACUAACUUCGUGCCUAGCAGCCGC